UUCAGAGGAAAUAAUGAAGCUAGAGACAUGAAGGCAGAGCUGCAAGGUAAGUAUGAAGUUGUAUGUUUGUGAGUGGAUGCAGCAUAGCAGGACUACUCGUUCUCAAGUUGGAGGGCACAAAUAAUAUACAUGUCUCUCCCUCUCUCUCUCUCUCUCUGCUGUUGAAUUCAGUAAUAGUGUUGAAUAUGUUGGGAAAAAGUACAAGAUUUUUACCUU